AGCGAGCUGAUCGGGUUCGGCUGGCGGCGCCGCUGCCCGGAGCAGCCGCUGCGCGAGUCCGCGGAGAGCGCCGUUAGGCCCUAGCAGAUGAUAAAUAAAAUGAAAAGGAACAGAAACCUCAAACUGAGCUUAUCUGAAUGCUGAAUAAUAUUCUCAUUCAAGGUGGGUAUUAGCCCUAUUUUUCCAGAUAAGGAAACAAACUCAGUUGCUGUUGCCAUCAUCUGACAAAAGAAAACAAGUCUGUAGUCGGAAGCUGUUUAAGAAGUCAUUUGUUGACUCUUCAAUACAGACAGGGAAACAGGGACCUGUGGAAGUUUGAUGACGUGCCCAGCAUCGUCGGGGACUGCAGUGAAGUGUCUCAGUUUUUUGGUCUUGAGGUUUAGAGUUGUCUCAAAGCCUCUUAAA